rnacentral:rRNA from 1 species
GAUGAACGCUGGCGGCGUGCUUAACACAUGCAAGUCGAACGGGAAUUACUUUAUUGAAACUUCGGUCGAUUUAAUUUAAUUCUAGUGGCGGACGGGUGAGUAACGCGUGGGUAACCUGCCUUGUACAGGGGGAUAACAGUCAGAAAUGACUGCUAAUACCGCAUAAGCGCACAGGACCGCAUGGUCCGGUGUGAAAAACUCCGGUGGUAUAAGAUGGACCCGCGUUGGAUUAGCUAGUUGGCAGGGUAACGGCCUACCAAGGCGACGAUCCAUAGCCGGCCUGAGAGGGUGAACGGCCACAUUGGGACUGAGACACGGCCCAGACUCCUACGGGAGGCAGCAGUGGGGAAUAUUGCACAAUGGGGGAAACCCUGAUGCAGCGACGCCGCGUGAAGGAAGAAGUAUCUCGGUAUGUAAACUUCUAUCAGCAGG